rnacentral:rRNA from 1 species
UACGGGGGGGGCAAGCGUUGUUCGGAAUUACUUGGGCGGUAAAGGGCGCGUAGGCGGCCUGCUAAGUCGGAACGUGAAACUCCCUCGGGCUCAACCGAGGAACUGCGUCCGAUACUGGUGGGCUUGAAUCCGGGAGAGGGGAUGUGGAAUUCCAGGUGUAGCGGUGAAAUGCGUAGAUAUCGUGAGGAAGACCAGUGGCGAAGGCGGGUCUCUGGACAGUUCCUGACACUGAGCACGAAGGCCAGGGAGCAACGGG